rnacentral:snRNA from 1 species
GCUCCCUUUGACAACACAUAUACUAAAGUUGGAACACUACAGAGAAGAUGAACACAGUUCCUGUGCAAAAAUGACAUGCAAAUUUCUGAAGCUUUCCAUAUUUUU